rnacentral:rRNA from 1 species
UACGUAGGGGGCAAGCGUUGUCCGGAAUCAUUGGGCGUAAAGCGCGUGUAGGCGGCUUGGUAAGUCUGCUCUGAAAGCCCGGGGCUCAACCCCGGGAGGCGGGUGGAUACUGUCAAGCUCGAGUACGGAAGAGGAGUGUGGAAUUCCUGGUGUAGCGGUGAAAUGCGCAGAUAUCAGGAGGAACACCAAUAGCGAAGGCAGCUCGCUGGGACGGUACUGACGCUAAGGCGCGAAAGCGUGGGGAGCGAACAGG